CAGCAGCCGCGGGAAUACGUAGGGUGCGAGCGUUAACCGGAAUUACUGGGCGUAAAGCGUGCGCAGGCGGUUUUGUAAGACAGGCGUGAAAUCCCCGGGCUCAACCUGGGAAUGGCGCUUGUGACUGCAAAGCUAGAGUGCGGCAGAGGGGGAUGGAAUUCCGCGUGUAGCAGUGAAAUGCGUAGAUAUGCAGAGGAACACCGAUGGCGAAGGCAAUCCCCUGGGCCUGCACUGACGCUCAUGCACGAAAGCGUGGGGAGCAAACAGGAUUAGAUACCCCCGUAGUCCCUGUCUCUUAUAC
rnacentral:rRNA from 1 species